rnacentral:rRNA from 1 species
AGGGAAUCUUCGGCAAUGGACGAAAGUCUGACCGAGCAACGCCGCGUGAGUGAAGAAGGUUUUCGGAUCGUAAAACUCUGUUGUUAGAGAAGAACAAGGAUGAGAGUAAAAUGUUCAUCCCUUGACGGUAUCUAACCAGAAAGCCACGGCUAACUACGUGCCAGCAGCCGCGGUAAUACGUAGGUGGCAAGCGUUGUCCGGAUUUAUUGGGCGUAAAGCGAGCGCAGGCGGUUUCUUAAGUCUGAUGUGAAAGCCCCCGGCUCAACCGGGGAGGGUCAUUGGAAACUGGGAGACUUGAGUGCAGAAGAGGAGAGUGGAAUUCCAUGUGUAGCGGUGAAAUGCGUAGAUAUAUGGAGGAACACCAGUGGCGAAGGCGGCUCUCUGGUCUGUAACUGACGCUGAGGCUCGAAAGCGUGGGGAGCGAAC